rnacentral:rRNA from 1 species
UACGGGGGGGGCAAGCGUUGUUCGGAAUUACUGGGCGUAAAGGGUUCGUAGGUGGCCUACUAAGUCAGACGUGAAAUCCCUCAGCUUAACUGGGGAACUGCGUCUGAGACUGGUGGGCUUGAGUGCAGGAGAGGAACGCGGAAUUCCAGGUGUAGCGGUGAAAUGCGUAGAUAUCUGGAGGAACACCGGUGGCGAAGGCGGCGUUCUGGACUGCAACUGACACUGAGGAACGAAAGCCAGGGGAGCAAACGGG